rnacentral:rRNA from 1 species
CAGCCGCCGCGGUAAUACGAAGGGGGCUAGCGUUGUUCGGAAUUACUGGGCGUAAAGCGCACGUAGGCGGAUUUUUAAGUCAGGGGUGAAAUCCCGAGGCUCAACCUCGGAACUGCCUUUGAUACUGGAGAUCUUGAGUUCGGAAGAGGUUGGUGGAACAGCUAGUGUAGAGGUGAAAUUCGUAGAUAUUAGCUAGAACACCAGUGGCGAAGGCGGCCAACUGGUCCGAUACUGACGCUGAGGUGCGAAAGCGUGGGGAGCAAACAGGAUUAGAUACCCCUGUAGUCCCUGUCUCUUAUAC